AUUGAACGCUGGCGGCAGGCCUAACACAUGCAAGUCGAACGCGCGGCGGACGGGGGUGUGAUGUCUCGGAGAAUGCGUGAUGGAGGGGGGGAACUCCUGGAAACGGGAGCUAAUAUCGCAUACCAUCAGAUAUGCGCAGAUGGGAUUAGCUAGUAGGUGGGGUAACGGCUCACCUAGGCGACGAUCCCUCGAUGGUGUGAGAGGAGUACCAGCCACACUGGAACUGAGACACGGUCCAGACUCCUACGGGAGGCAGCAGGGGGGAAUAUUGCACAAUGGGCGCAAGCCUGAUGCAGCCAUGCCGCGUGGAUGAAGAAGGCCUUCGGGUUGUAAAGCACUUUCAGCGAGGAGGCGUUACCCGCAGAAGAAGCACCGGCUAACUCCGUGCCAGCAGCCGCGGUAAUAC
rnacentral:rRNA from 1 species